rnacentral:rRNA from 1 species
UUAAGCGACUAAGCGUACACGGUGGAUGCCUAGGCAGUCAGAGGCGAUGAAGGGCGUGCUAAUCUGCGAAAAGCGUCGGUAAGCUGAUAUGAAGCGUUAUAACCGACGAUACCCGAAUGGGGAAACCCAGUGCAAUACGUUGCACUAUCGUUAGAUGAAUACAUAGUCUAACGAGGCGAACCGGGGGAACUGAAACAUCUAAGUACCCCGAGGAAAAGAAAUCAACCGAGAUUCCCCAGUAGCGGCGAGCGAACGGGGAGGAGCCCAGAGUCUGAAUCAGUUUGUGUGUUAGUGGAAGCGUCUGGAAAGUCGCACGGUACAGGGUGAUAGUCCCGUACACCAAAAUGCACAGGCUGUGAACUCGAUGAGUAGGGCGGGACACGUGACAUCCUGUCUGAAUAUGGGGGACCAUCCUCCAAGGCUAAAUACUCCUGACUGACCGAUAGUGAACCAGUACCGUGAGGGAAAGGCGAAAAGAACCCCGGCGAGGGGAGUGAAAUAGAACCUGAAACCGUGUACGUACAAGCAGUGGGAGCACCUUCGUGGUGUGACUGCGUACCUUUUGUAUAAUGGGUCAGCGACUUAUAUUUGUAGCAAGGUUAACCGAAUAGGGGAGCCGUAGGGAAACCGAGUCUUAACUGGGCGUCUAGUUGCAAGGUAUAGACCCGAAACCCGGUGAUCUAGCCAUGGGCAGGUUGAAGGUUGGGUAACACUAACUGGAGGACCGAACCGACUAAUGUUGAAAAAUUAGCGGAUGACUUGUGGCUGGGGGUGAAAGGCCAAUCAAACCGGAGAUAGCUGGUUCUCCCCCGAAGCUAUUUAGGUAGCGCCUCGUGAACUCAUCUUCGGGGGUAGAGCACUGUUUCGGCUAGGGGCCAUCCCGGCUUACCAAACCGAUGCAAACUCCGAAUACCGAAGAAUGUUAUCACGGGAGACACACGGCGGGUGCUAACGUCCGUCGUGAAGAGGGAAACAACCCAGACCGCCAGCUAAGGUCCAAAGUCAUGGUUAAGUGGGAAACGAUGUGGGAAGGCACAGACAGCCAGGAUGUUGGCUUAGAAGCAGCCAUCAUUUAAAGAAAGCGUAAUAGCUCACUGGUCGAGUCGGCCUGCGCGGAAGAUGUAACGGGGCUAACCAUGCACCGAAGCUGCGGCAGCGACACUUAGUGUUGUUGGGUAGGGGAGCGUUCUGUAAGCCGUUGAAGGUGACCUGUGAGGGUUUGCUGGAGGUAUCAGAAGUGCGAAUGCUGACAUAAGUAACGAUAAUGCGGGUGAAAAACCCGCACGCCGGAAGACCAAGGGUUCCUGUCCAACGUUAAUCGGGGCAGGGGUGAGUCGACCCCUAAGGCGAGGCUGAAAAGCGUAGUCGAUGGGAAACAGGUUAAUAUUCCUGUACUUGUGUUACUGCGAAGGGGGACGGAGAAGGCUAGGCUGGCCGGGCGACGGUUGUCCCGGUUUAAGCGUGUAGGGGGAGUGACCAGGUAAUCCGGUUGCUUAUCAACCCUGAGGCGUGAUGACGAUGCACCACGGUGCAGAAGCAGUUGAUGCCAUGCUUCCAGGAAAAGCCUCUAAGCAUCAGGUAACAUUAAAUCGUACCCCAAACCGACACAGGUGGUCAGGUAGAGAAUACUCAGGCGCUUGAGAGAACUCGGGUGAAGGAACUAGGCAAAAUGGUGCCGUAACUUCGGGAGAAGGCACGCUGGCGUUAGGUGAAAGGACUAGCUCCUGGAGCUGAAGCCAGUCGCAGAUACCAGCUGGCUGCAACUGUUUAAUAAAAACACGCACUGUGCAAACACGAAAGUGGACGUAUACGGUGUGACGCCUGCCCGGUGCUGGAAGGUUAAUUGAUGGGGUCAGCCGCAAGGCGAAGCUCUUGAUCGAAGCCCCAGUAAACGGCGGCCGUAACUAUAACGGUCCUAAGGUAGCGAAAUUCCUUGUCGGGUAAGUUCCGACCUGCACGAAUGGCGUAAUGAUGGCCAGGCUGUCUCCACCCGAGACUCAGUGAAAUUGAACUCGCUGUGAAGAUGCAGUGUACCCGCGGCAAGACGGAAAGACCCCGUGAACCUUUACUAUAGCUUGACACUGAACAUUGAGCCUUGAUGUGUAGGAUAGGU